UGUGGUUUAAUUCGAUGCAACGCGAAAAACCUUACCCACCUUUGACAUGUACGGAAGUUCCCAGAGAUGGCUUCGUGCUCGAAAGAGAACCGUAACACAGGUGCGCAUGGCUGUCGUCAGCUCGUGUCGUGAGAUGUUGGGUUAAGUCCCGCAACGAGCGCAACCCUUGUCAUUAGUUGCUACGAAAGGGCACUCUAAUGAGACUGCCGGUGACAAACCGGAGGAAGGUGGGGAUGACGUCAAGUCCUCAUGGCCCUUAUAGGUGGGGCUACACACGUCAUACAAUGGCUGGUACAGAGGGUUGCCAACCCGCGAGGGGGAGCUAAUCCCAUAAAACCAGUCGUAGUCCGGAUCGCAGUCUGCAACUCGACUGCGUGAAGUCGGAAUCGCUAGUAAUCGCGGAUCAGAAUGUCGCGGUGAAUACGUUCCCGGGUCUUGUACACACCGCCCGUCACA
rnacentral:rRNA from 1 species